rnacentral:ncRNA from 1 species
AUUUUCGCCGUGAAUUUUGGUUUUCGCUGCUUAUGGCAGUGAAAUUAAAAGGGAAUCCGGUGUAAAUCCGGAACUGUUCCCGCAACUGUAAGUUUAUACCGACCACAUCUAUUGACGAAUAGGUUUUAAUUGGUACCUCGUUUAAGAGGAUGUUAUUUACUGCAUAGCCACUUUGUUUUCUAAUCCGGUAUAGAAACAUGGGAAGGCAAAAUAACAUAAAACGAGUCAGGAGACCUGCCUUAUUCAAACAACAAUG